AUUGAACGCUGGCGGCAUGCUUUACACAUGCAAGUCGAACGGUAACAGGCCUUCGGGUGCUGACGAGUGGCGAACGGGUGAGUAAUGCAUCGGAACGUGCCCAGAGGUGGGGGAUAACGCAGCGAAAGCUGUGCUAAUACCGCAUGUGAUCUGAGGAUGAAAGCGGGGGACCAGGCAGCAAUGUUUGGCCUCGCGCCUUUGGAGCGGCCGAUGUCAGAUUAGGUAGUUGGUGGGGUAAAGGCCUACCAAGCCGACGAUCUGUAGCUGGUCUGAGAGGACGACCAGCCACACUGGGACUGAGACACGGCCCAGACUCCUACGGGAGGCAGCAGUGGGGAAUUUUGGACAAUGGGCGCAAGCCUGAUCCAGCAAUGCCGCGUGCGGGAAGAGGGCCUUCGGGUUGUAAACCGCUUUUGUACGGAACGAAAAGGCUCUGGCUAAUACCUGGGGCUGAUGACGGUACCGUAAGAAUAAGCACCGGCCAACUACGUG
rnacentral:rRNA from 1 species